GACGUGCUGACAUGAGUAAUACAGAAAUAAUGCUAAUGGUACUUGUAUCUUUAUUCAGUGUCCAAUAAAGACAGGUUGUCAGGGGAGGUCGGUGUGAGAGCCCUGUGCUACAGGUCAGUGAGGAAGAGUGAGGCACCACACAGACUAAGUAUUAAGCUUCUGGAUUCAUCGCCGGUGGUACUGACACAUAGCCAGUGCUCCUGUGUGGCAGGCUCUGUUAUGUGCAAUCACACUGUGGCACUGCUCUUCCAAACAGCACACUACUCACAACUCAGAGUGCCGGUUGUCCCCCUGUGCAUAGCUGCACGGAAUCUGAACAGCAAUGGCACAAGCCACGGACAGUAGGUGUGAAGCCAGGACCCAUCAACUCCAUGAUCUUCACUAAGUCGGUACCAAAUAGGAUGGCCCAGACUGGAGUACGGAGUGGUUUCUACAGAGGCAUGGUGGGUCCGUUACCAGAUCCUUGCUUGUUCAGAAUAACGGAGGCAUAUGCAAAAUUUAAUAUUGAGGACAGGCCACUUGUGACCACAAUGAACAUGAGACCUGACAAGCCCCUUGUGGAAAGUGCUUUUGGGCUGGUGCAGGAGUGCAGUGUUCUGUCAUAUCAGCAGCCGGUUUUGACAACCCGGUACAUCACACUACACCGUGAUGCACCACCAACACCGCACUUGCCUCUGGAGGGGUAUGACA